UACGUAGGGACCAAGCGUUGUUCGGAUUUACUGGGCGUAAAGGGCGCGUAGGCGGCGUGUUAAGUCACUUGUGAAAUCUCUAAGCUUAACUUAGAACGGUCAAGUGAUACUGAUGUGCUAGAGUGCAGAAGGGGCAACCGGAAUUCUUGGUGUAGCGGUGAAAUGCGUAGAUAUCAAGAGGAACACCCGUGGCGAAAGCGGCUCUCUGGGACGGUACUGGACGCUGAGACGCGAAAAGCCGUGGGGGAGCGAACAGG
rnacentral:rRNA from 1 species